ACCCUGAGCUCACAGCAAGGCAGGGAGGGAGGCGGGGCCGCACCCUGGCUGAGCCAGCCCUGCCCGCGCCCAGGUGCCCCUAGGGCCUAUGUUCCCGUGCAGAUUCCCUGGAGAGGGAAAGGAUUUGCACCCUCCUGGCCGAUCGGUGGUGGAGGAGGACUGCUGCCAGUAGCGUCGGCUUCUCCCCGCUCCGGCCAGAGACGGCUGAAGGGGCCGUGGGGCCGCGGAGAAGAGGGGCUCCAGACCCUGCGGGCACACGGGCACAAGCCGGGGCCCGGCCUUUCCAUCGCGCCCAGCCCUUCAUCCCUCUGAGCCUCGAGUUCUUCCCGGGGGCAUUGUGUUCGAGAACUCCCACCUCACAGGCCCCGGGGAGGACCCAGCAAGUUGGCAUCUGGAAGGUGCCCAGCUCUCUGCUUCAGCAGGCGCUCGAUGAACGCGGAUUCCUUCUCCGCCGCUCAAAAGUCGCCUCUCUAUUUGAGGCCCUGCUCUGUGGUGACGCGAGGUGGCAGGCAGGCCUGGAAUGGAAGCCCCCCCCCCCCCCGGAGAGAGCCUGUGUGUGUCCCUCUGUGCUGCGGGGCACACGUGUUCCCUCCUCUUCACAGCAGCCCUGGCAGGGGAGCACUGAGCUGACCCGUGUGGCCCAGGCCGGGAAACCGAGGCUCGGAGAAUCCGUCCAGCUGCACAGCCUCGCGGCUCAUCCGUGGCAGAGGUGCCACGAGAACCCCGCUCCUCGGGCCCUCCCCGCGCCUCUUCCCCCCCAUCAAAGGACGUGGGGUUGGGAGUGACCGCACACAUCUUGGAAACAACCUCGCAGUAAAGCGUCUUGGGGUCAAAAUCGUCUCUAUGUCCGCGGCGCUCCUGCAGUCUCACUGUCCAGCGCUCUGUGGAAGUCCCUUUUCGUGUGUCCUGCUUGGAAUUCCCCGAGGCUCUUGGCUGCGGACGUCCACUGGGCUCUUUCUGAAAAUCCUCCAGGUGAUCUGGAGGGACCCCGCUUGAUGAUCCUCGUUCCAGUGCCUCGUCAGGACUUCCCGUGCAGGAAUAGCCUUGCCUUUAACAUCGCGGACGUCCACAACCGGGACAUCUGUUCCUCGGGCAGGGGGUCUGGGCUGAGGCUGCGCUGCACCUGAGCGAUUCUCUGGCUCCUUCCAGUCCCCCAAGCAUGGUCCCCUGCCCAGGGCCACCUUUUGUGUUCAUUACUCAGCCUGGGGGUUCCCCGAAGACGCGAGGGACAAGAAUCCUGAGCCAACGUGAGGGCGUUUAUCCUGGUUCUCAGGCGGGAACGGAACCGGACCCUCCCUGACCCGCAGGGGCUGCUGGGCUGGCUGCUCCCUUGCCCGUCAUUCUACUCGUUUCUGGAUUUUGAAGAUGUCCAGCUCAGGCAUGCAUAUUCUUUUUUCCAUGUUUGUGGUUAUUUUUGUUUCAAAAAAGGAAAGACUGAAACAGUA